rnacentral:rRNA from 1 species
UAGGGAAUAUUAGUAAUGGGCGAAAGCCUGAACUAGCAACGCCGCGUGUGCGAAGAAGGCCUUCGGGUUGUGAAGCACUUUUUGAGAGGAUGAGGAAGGACGGUACUCUCAGAAUAAGUCUCGGCUAACUACGUGCCAGCAGCCGCGGUAACACGUAGGAGGCGAACGUUAUCCGGAUUUACUGGGCGUAAAGCGCGUGUAGGUGGUUUGGUAAGUAGGGCGUGAAAGCUCCUGGCUCAACUGGGAGAGGCCGUUCUAAACUGCCGAACUAGAGGAUGGUAGGGGAGGUGGAAUUCCGGGUGUAGCGGUGGAAUGCGCAGAUAUCCGGAGGAACACCAGUGGCGAAAGCGGCCUCCUGGACCAUUCCUGACACUAAGACGCGAAAGCUAGGGUAGCAAACGG